ensembl:lncRNA
AAAUUCACUACACUUUCAAUCUUUUCCAUAUUCUUAUUUCAAAUCAUAUUUGACAACUUAGUUGUUUUUAAGUUGGUGUGACUUAUUGUCAUUUUUUCACAUUUGUGUUUCUGACACUUAAGUAAUAAACCAUCUCUUUUAUAGUUCAGUGCAAUUUUUUGUAUUGUUGUAGCCUGUUUGCUGGGGCCCAGGAGAAUAAUUAAACUGAUGCAGUGUUUUGUCUUGUCCUUUCUCCUAUAAGGACGGUGUGGCAGACCUCUAGCUCAAUGCUAGGAGACGAAUUGGGAACAAUCAUGUGAAGUGAAACCUCCUGCAACCUUUCCCUUUUGGUACCUUGUUAUGUCUGCGACACAUCUCUAAUCCGAAGAAGAAGAUGAGACUGUGUGUACAGCACCAAGACUGAGGCAAAGAGGCCUUUUGGGUCAAUAUCACUGGACGAGGACAACGACAAGACUAUGUGCCAGGAAAAGGGAGAGGACUGCUAGGUGUGGUGACGAGCUCUACAGCAGACUUGCGCAACUCAAUCGCUG